ACGGGAGGCAGCAGUGGGGGAUAUUGCACAAUGGGGGAAACCCUGAUGCAGCGACGCCGCGUGAGUGAUGAAGUAUUUCGGUAUGUAAAGCUCUAUCAGCAGGGAAGAUAAUGACGGUACCUGACUAAGAAGCACCGGCUAAAUACGUGCCAGCAGCCGCGGUAAUACGUAUGGUGCAAGCGUUAUCCGGAUUUACUGGGUGUAAAGGGAGCGUAGACGGCGAGGCAAGCCAGAUGUGAAAGGCUGGGGCUCAACCCCGGGACUGCAUUUGGAACUGUCUGGCUAGAGUAUCGGAGAGGUAAGUGGAAUUCCUAGUGUAGCGGUGAAAUGCGCAGAUAUUAGGAGGAACACCAGUGGCGAAGGCGGCUUACUGGACGAUAACUGACGUUGAGGCUCGAAAGCGUGGGGAGCAAACAGGAUUAGAUACCCUGGUA
rnacentral:rRNA from 1 species